CGUGGGGAACCUGCCCCAUAGUCUGGGAUACCACUUGGAAACAGGUGCUAAUACCGGAUAAGAAAGCGGAUCGCAUGAUCAGCUUUUAAAAGGCGGCGUAAGCUGUCGCUAUGGGAUGGCCCCGCGGUGCAUUAGCUAGUUGGUAAGGUAAAGGCUUACCAAGGCGAUGAUGCAUAGCCGAGUUGAGAGACUGAUCGGCCACAUUGAGACUGAGACACGGCCCAAACUCCUACGGGAGGCAGCAGCA
rnacentral:rRNA from 1 species